CACUGGUGUAAAUGGUGUGAAUCCUGCUGAACAGGAAGCAGUGUUGUUAUUUUUGUUUUUCAUUGUCUCUUCUUUUGUAUAUACAUUAUAAAACUGUCCAGAAAGGCCCUGUAUGAACCAACUCACAAAAUAAUGUUGCCAGUGAAGAAAAUACAACGUCAAAAUAAUCAGUAAACACAUCAUCUAUCAAAGAAAAUGUUCAAGCUACAGAGGGAGAAAUGGAGAGUGUGGUUCUCAGUAAAAGAAUAAAAGUGAUGUUUGAGUGCCGUGACCUAUUUAUUUCCACACAGUGUAUUCAUGCUCACCUUAGUACAGCUCAGCCCAUAGAUCUUCAUGGGUAAGUUUUUCUCUGAACAGUUUCUUUCUGUCCAAAUGCUGCCUGCAACGCUGCCACUCUGACACAGUCAAAAACUGUUUGCUUCCUUUAAUGUCUUUCCUGUGAUAAUGCCCCACCUACACUAGUGUUUCCAUACUUCUAUCUCCUAAUCAGUACUGUACUGUUUGAAGUGUUUCACAUGAAACAUGAGAUUAAGUUUUUAAUUUUUUUUACGGUUUUUAAGGUACCACUACGUUUACAAUGCCAUCUUAUUUUAGUGUAAUAUCUUUUUGUCUUAUUGUGAAAGUAUCCUAGUCCUUCCCCUCACGGCUAGCGACACCUGUUGCCGGAAGCAUUCUGCCCUUCUCCUGUUACUUGGUGAACACUGAGAGACAUGUGGAGGAGGCAAACACGGCGAAAAAGUCAUUUGUCUCUGCUGUCUCUACUCCACUUCAAGAUGGCGAUGUGAAACACAAGACGAAGCGGGGAGAUUUACCGUGGUGAUCCUGAGGGUUGAAGCGAUGUUCAGUCCAGUCACAAGCUUGGUUAUCUAACCCUCAGGCCCCCCGCCUCCAAUUUAAGUGGAAAGUAGUGGGCCAAGUCCUGGCAGCCAAAAGACUCAAUAAUACAUUUGUAAAUAUGUAUAUACUGUAGUUAAGUUUCCCCUCCAAUCCUGAGGUUUCACAGACCACUGAUGGUUUAUGUAAUGUAGUUUGAUAUACCAGAUUAACAGAUAUGUGUAUAUAAUGUUUUAUUUUGUUCUCCUGUUUCAUUCUAAUUUUAAUUUUCCGUAUACAUGUUCUAUGUGUGAGGAGUAUGGAAGGGGUGACAUCUCUUUGAUUCAUUUUUGCAGACCUGUGUUGUAAA